rnacentral:rRNA from 1 species
GACGAACGCUGGCGGCGUGCCUAAUACAUGCAAGUCGAACGCUGAAGGAGGAGCUUGCUUCUCUGGAUGAGUUGCGAACGGGUGAGUAACGCGUAGGUAACCUGCCUGGUAGCGGGGGAUAACUAUUGGAAACGAUAGCUAAUACCGCAUAAUAGUAGAUGUUGCAUGACAUUUACUUAAAAGGAGCAAUUGCAUCACUACCAGAUGGACCUGCGUUGUAUUAGCUAGUUGGUGGGGUAACGGCUCACCAAGGCGACGAUACAUAGCCGACCUGAGAGGGUGAUCGGCCACACUGGGACUGAGACACGGCCCAGACUCCUACGGGAGGCAGCAGUAGGGAAUCUUCGGCAAUGGACGAAAGUCUGACCGAGCAACGCCGCGUGAGUGAAGAAGGUUUUCGGAUCGUAAAGCUCUGUUGUAAGAGAAGAACGAGUGUGAGAGUGGAAAGUUCACACUGUGACGGUAUCUUACCAGAAAGGGACGGCUAACUACGUG